rnacentral:rRNA from 1 species
UACAGAGGGUGCAAGCGUUAUCCGGAUUCACUGGGUUUAAAGGGUGCGUAGGUGGGUUGGUAAGUCAGUGGUGAAAUCCCCGAGCUUAACUUGGGAACUGCCAUUGAUACUAUCAGUCUUGAAUACUGUGGAGGUCAGCGGAAUAUGUCAUGUAGCGGUGAAAUGCUUAGAUAUGACAUAGAACACCAAUUGCGAAGGCAGCUGGCUACACAAAUAUUGACACUCAGGCACGAAAGCGUGGGGAUCAAACAGG